rnacentral:rRNA from 1 species
AACGAAUGUAGCAAUACAUUAGUGGCAAACGGGUGAGGAAUACAUAGGAAUCUACCCAGCAGUAAGGAAUAACUUUGGGAAACCAAAGCUAAUACCAUAUAUUACCGAGCAAUCGGGAAAGAUUUAUCGCUGUUGGAUGAGCCUUUGUCGGAUUAGUUAGUUGGUAGGGUAAUGGCCUACCAAGGCAAUGAUCCGUAGCUGGUCUGAGAGGAUGAUCAGCCACACUGGGACUGAGACACGGCCCAGACUCC